CCGGAUGUGCCGAGAGGUGAAAGAUUUAUUGCCUAGAGAUGAGCUCGCGUCUGAUUAGCUAGUAGGUGGGGUAAGAGCCUACCUAGGCGACGAUCAGUAGCUGGUCUGAGAGGAUGAUCAGCCACACUGGGACUGAGACACGGCCCAGACUCCUACGGGAGGCAGCAGUGGGGAAUUUUCCGCAAUGGGCGAAAGCCUGACGGAGCAAUACCGCGUGAGGGAGGAAGGCUCUUGGGUUGUAAACCUCUUUUCUCAAGGAAGAACAAAAUGACGGUACUUGAGGAAUCAGCAUCGGCUAACUCCGUGCCACCAGCCGCGGUAAUACGGAGGAUGCAAGCGUUAUCCGGAAUGAUUGGGCGUAAAGCGUCCGCAGGUGGCUAUGUAAGUCUGCUGUUAAGAGUGAGGCUCACCUCAUAAAGCAGUGGAAACUACAUAGCUAGAGUGCGUUCGGGGCAGAGGGAUUCCUGGUGUGCGGUGAAUGCGUAGAUUCAGGAAAACCCGGUGGCGAAGCGCUCUGCUGGCCGCACUGACCUGAGGACAAAGCUAGGGACCGAAGGGAUAGAUCCCCCUGUACAAAA
rnacentral:rRNA from 1 species